rnacentral:lncRNA from 10 species
AACUAAUCCCACCUUCUACAGGCUCCUAUCUUGACGGGUCCAUCCUGCAUGGAAACAUGCAUGCUUUUCAUCUCUCCUGACUGUAAUUUAAGAGUAAACAACCACGACUACACCAUCUGCAGUAGCAGUCCAAUGUCAUUCUCAUGGAGACAACAGAUAUUGUAAUAGCACUGCUUAAGAACCAGAAAACACCAAUGAUGCACUUCUCUCUUUGAGGAAUAGCAAGCAGACCUACUGGCUCUGUAUCUUCCACCAUGAGAAGUUUGUUUUUACCUUUAACUACUAGUGGGAGCGAGUAUCUUCUUAUGAGGAAACGGAAACUUACUGAGGUUACCCAAGGCCAUUCAGGUAUGAAGACAAGCCUGAGUCUGUUUGCCUCUGCUGAAGAAACCACUGUACAAUAGCAUCUACCUGUGACAUACCAAAAGGCCUUGCACUGUGAUGGUUCCUGCCUCCACAGACUCUUGAGUCUUGAAUAAUGUGUUUCCGCCAAUUCUCAGGUAAUGAAGGUACAAAAUUGAUGGAAAGCUUUUAUUUAAAAAUCACUCAGAGGUUGCAGAUUUUAAAAACAGAAGGUCACCAUUUCCUUCUCUGAAAUACUAGCAUGAUAGCCAUCUUUCCUCAUCUUCUUCAUAGUUCUAUGAGAUAGAUUUAACCAAAAAGCCACCUCCUGCAACCUCUUUUGUUUUUGUUUUUUAAAAAAAUCAUUGUAAUAUACCCUGAUGUGAAAACAGGAGACAGUCACUUGAGUCUUUCAAGCAACUACAAGUAGCAAAUAAAUUUGAUGCCAUUUUACUGUGUAGGAGGAAAUACACGUUUCCAUUACCCCAUGAUGAACCUAAUGAUAAAAUCUAGAUAGAGCC